GGUUAAGCGACUAAGCGUACACGGUGGAUGCCCUGGCAGUCAGAGGCGAUGAAGGACGUGCUAAUCUGCGAUAAGCGUCGGUAAGGUGAUAUGAACCGUUAUAACCGGCGAUUUCCGAAUGGGGAAACCCAGUGUGAUUCGUCACACUAUCAUUAACUGAAUCCAUAGGUUAAUGAGGCGAACCGGGGGAACUGAAACAUCUAAGUACCCCGAGGAAAAGAAAUCAACCGAGAUUCCCCCAGUAGCGGCGAGCGAACGGGGAGCAGCCCAGAGCCUGAAUCAGUGUGUGUGUUAGUGGAAGCGUCUGGAAAGGCGUGCGAUACAGGGUGACAGCCCCGUACACAAAAAUGCACAUGCUGUGAGCUCGAUGAGUAGGGCGGGACACGUGGUAUCCUGUCUGAAUAUGGGGGGACCAUCCUCCAAGGCUAAAUACUCCUGACUGACCGAUAGUGAACCAGUACCGUGAGGGAAAGGCGAAAAGAACCCCGGCGAGGGGAGUGAAAAAGAACCUGAAACCGUGUACGUACAAGCAGUGGGAGCACGCUUAGGCGUGUGACUGCGUACCUUUUGUAUAAUGGGUCAGCGACUUAUAUUCUGUAGCAAGGUUAACCGAAUAGGGGAGCCGAAGGGAAACCGAGUCUUAACUGGGCGUUAAGUUGCAGGGUAUAGACCCGAAACCCGGUGAUCUAGCCAUGGGCAGGUUGAAGGUUGGGUAACACUAACUGGAGGACCGAACCGACUAAUGUUGAAAAAUUAGCGGAUGACUUGUGGCUGGGGGUGAAAGGCCAAUCAAACCGGGAGAUAGCUGGUUCUCCCCGAAAGCUAUUUAGGUAGCGCCUCGUGAAUUCAUCUCCGGGGGUAGAGCACUGUUUCGGCAAGGGGGUCAUCCCGACUUACCAACCCGAUGCAAACUGCGAAUACCGGAGAAUGUUAUCACGGGAGACACACGGCGGGUGCUAACGUCCGUCGUGAAGAGGGAAACAACCCAGACCGCCAGCUAAGGUCCCAAAGUCAUGGUUAAGUGGGAAACGAUGUGGGAAGGCCCAGACAGCCAGGAUGUUGGCUUAGAAGCAGCCAUCAUUUAAAGAAAGCGUAAUAGCUCACUGGUCGAGUCGGCCUGCGCGGAAGAUGUAACGGGGCUAAACCAUGCACCGAAGCUGCGGCAGCGACGCUUAUGCGUUGUUGGGUAGGGGAGCGUUCUGUAAGCCUGUGAAGGUGUGCUGUGAGGCAUGCUGGAGGUAUCAGAAGUGCGAAUGCUGACAUAAGUAACGAUAAAGCGGGUGAAAAGCCCGCUCGCCGGAAGACCAAGGGUUCCUGUCCAACGUUAAUCGGGGCAGGGUGAGUCGACCCCUAAGGCGAGGCCGAAAGGCGUAGUCGAUGGGAAACAGGUUAAUAUUCCUGUACUUGGUGUUACUGCGAAGGGGGGACGGAGAAGGCUAUGUUGGCCGGGCGACGGUUGUCCCGGUUUAAGCGUGUAGGCUGGUUUUCCAGGCAAAUCCGGAAAAUCAAGGCUGAGGCGUGAUGACGAGGCACUACGGUGCUGAAGCAACAAAUGCCCUGCUUCCAGGAAAAGCCUCUAAGCAUCAGGUAACAUCAAAUCGUACCCCAAACCGACACAGGUGGUCAGGUAGAGAAUACCAAGGCGCUUGAGAGAACUCGGGUGAAGGAACUAGGCAAAAUGGUGCCGUAACUUCGGGAGAAGGCACGCUGAUAUGUAGGUGAAGUCCCUCGCGGAUGGAGCUGAAAUCAGUCGAAGAUACCAGCUGGCUGCAACUGUUUAUUAAAAACACAGCACUGUGCAAACACGAAAGUGGACGUAUACGGUGUGACGCCUGCCCGGUGCCGGAAGGUUAAUUGAUGGGGUCAGCGCAAGCGAAGCUCUUGAUCGAAGCCCCGGUAAACGGCGGCCGUAACUAUAACGGUCCUAAGGUAGCGAAAUUCCUUGUCGGGUAAGUUCCGACCUGCACGAAUGGCGUAAUGAUGGCCAGGCUGUCUCCACCCGAGACUCAGUGAAAUUGAACUCGCUGUGAAGAUGCAGUGUACCCGCGGCAAGACGGAAAGACCCCGUGAACCUUUACUAUAGCUUGACACUGAACAUUGAGCCUUGAUGUGUAGGAUAGGUGGGAGGCUUUGAAGUGUGGACGCCAGUCUGCAUGGAGCCGACCUUGAAAUACCACCCUUUAAUGUUUGAUGUUCUAACGUUGACCCGUAAUCCGGGUUGCGGACAGUGUCUGGUGGGUAGUUUGACUGGGGCGGUCUCCUCCUAAAGAGUAACGGAGGAGCACGAAGGUUGGCUAAUCCUGGUCGGACAUCAGGAGGUUAGUGCAAUGGCAUAAGCCAGCUUGACUGCGAGCGUGACGGCGCGAGCAGGUGCGAAAGCAGGUCAUAGUGAUCCGGUGGUUCUGAAUGGAAGGGCCAUCGCUCAACGGAUAAAAGGUACUCCGGGGAUAACAGGCUGAUACCGCCCAAGAGUUCAUAUCGACGGCGGUGUUUGGCACCUCGAUGUCGGCUCAUCACAUCCUGGGGCUGAAGUAGGUCCCAAGGGUAUGGCUGUUCGCCAUUUAAAGUGGUACGCGAGCUGGGUUUAGAACGUCGUGAGACAGUUCGGUCCCUAUCUGCCGUGGGCGCUGGAGAACUGAGGGGGGCUGCUCCUAGUACGAGAGGACCGGAGUGGACGCAUCACUGGUGUUCGGGUUGUCAUGCCAAUGGCACUGCCCGGUAGCUAAAUGCGGAAGAGAUAAGUGCUGAAAGCAUCUAAGCACGAAACUUGCCCCGAGAUGAGUUCUCCCUGACUCCUUGAGAGUCCUGAAGGAACGUUGAAGACGACGACGUUGAUAGGCCGGGUGUGUAAGCGCAGCGAUGCGUUGAGCUAACCGGUACUAAUGAACCGUGAGGCUUAACCUU
rnacentral:rRNA from 1 species